UGCCUAAAGUGGCAUUAUUGACUGCUGGU
rnacentral:piRNA from 1 species